AGAUAAAACCGCGACAAUUAGCAUACGUGAGGUCAGUCGAUGGAUUCAACGAGAAAGAGGCGGGAUGGAACGUCACACCUGCAGUCCCUAGUACUUGUUUCGACUAUCUAUGUUUGGAGUCGUAGCUCGCCGCCUCGCUAUUAGUUUGUUUCACAUCAAAAGAAAUUCAUUUCUGCGUAAAGUUUACUUUGGUACUUGGCUGUUCCGCUGCUGAACAACGCGACGAGAUGUUUGGAGAAGAUCUAUGGUAUCGUGGUAUGUGCUCGUUUUCCACCACUGUGAUAUCUCUUCACGAAGAAUACCUAGCCUGAAGAUUAAUGAACUUGUACUCUUGAAACAGGACUUUGUCAAGGUUGACACGAAAGCUGUUUCCUGAACAACUGCAUACAUACUCCAAACUGGCAAACCAGAGGGAGAUUAGGGUGUGUUUAAGGCGAGGCGGCUGCUUUCCAUUACGUUGGUUUCUUAAAUCCAGCGGUCGAAUUCGAAACUGCGCGUCGCUUUAUCGUUUGAUCUUCCUCCAAAGCCACGAUAUAACGUUCAUCGACACUGAAGAACAGUUAGAUUUCUGUGGAGAAAAGAAAAGGAAUGACUGGUUUGGAAGAGGGAAGAUAAUUGCCAGCAGCGUUGUGAGAACGAUUGUGCACGUGUGUGUGGCAUAGCAGAGCGCGUGUACGCAAAGAAAUACAUACUUAUCAGCCGGAUACUUGUUCCGCAGAAAAACAACAAGACGAUGAACCAGUUGACAGUGGUGAACUCGUGGAAGAAGUGCUAAUGAUGAUGACGAUCCUGCCGUACUAUUACGUUUCCAGGAAUGUAUGUGGCCUUACCAAGACUGUACAGGGUGGACGAAUAGAAUGUUAUGGAACCAAAUAUCUUUUCAAGAGGAUAACGGCUUGGCAAAAUUCUGAGCGUGAUUUCAAAUUGAUUUAUACAUCCAUGAGGUAAAUUAUUCACCCUAUAUGUACAUACAAAGUCUGUAAAAUAACAGACUUCCGUGGACGAUAUCAAGUUUUGAGUGCGCACCAUCACGUGGAAGGCCUUGAACUUUACCGUCCAUCUAAAAAAAGACUAUGAGAAACGACAUAGCAUGACUUUGAAAAAGGCCUGGCCCUAUGAAUUAUUAUUAUUAUUGAAAAUAAUGGUCAUCAUUAAUUUCAUUCCACUUCAAAAUGAUGGUACAUGAUAGAUACAUGAUAGUCUUUGGGAUUUGUCAAGGUAAUGAAUUCGUUGAAUGGCACAAAACAAACUUGCUAAUUAUGACGUUAUCACAGAAAUAAUGAAAUUUCAUUG